AUUGAACGCUGGCGGCAGGCCUAACACAUGCAAGUCGAGCGGAUGAAGGGAGCUUGCUCCUGGAUUCAGCGGCGGACGGGUGAGUAAUGCCUAGGAAUCUGCCUGGUAGUGGGGGAUAACGUCCGGAAACGGGCGCUAAUACCGCAUACGUCCUGAGGGAGAAAGUGGGGGAUCUUCGGACCUCACGCUAUCAGAUGAGCCUAGGUCGGAUUAGCUAGUUGGUGGGGUAAAGGCCUACCAAGGCGACGAUCCGUAACUGGUCUGAGAGGAUGAUCAGUCACACUGGAACUGAGACACGGUCCAGACUCCUACGGGAGGCAGCAGUGGGGAAUAUUGGACAAUGGGCGAAAGCCUGAUCCAGCCAUGCCGCGUGUGUGAAGAAGGUCUUCGGAUCGUAAAGCACUUUAAGUUGGGAGGAAGGGCAGUAAGUUAAUACCCUGCUGUUUUGACGUUACCAACAGAAUAAGCACCGGCUAACUUCGUG
rnacentral:rRNA from 1 species